rnacentral:hammerhead_ribozyme from 1 species
AUCCGAAUGACGAGUCCCAAAUAGGACGAAAUGCGAAUCCUGGAU